rnacentral:tRNA from 2 species
GCGGACGUGGCGGAAUUGGCAGACGCGCUAGAUUUAGGUUCUAGUGUCUUAGCGACGUGGGGGUUCGAGUCCCUUCGUCCGCA